UAUUGGAGAGCUAUAAACUCAGCAAAAGCCUUUUAAGCUUAAGAAAACAUAAAUUGUUUCCAAUAA
rnacentral:tRNA from 1 species